rnacentral:tRNA from 1 species
CGGGGCGUAGCUCAGCCUGGUUGGAGCGCCUGGUUUGGGACCAGGAGGCCGGUGGUUCGAAUCCACUCGCCCCGACCA